rnacentral:rRNA from 1 species
GACGAACGCUGGCGGCGUGCCUAAUACAUGCAAGUAGAACGCUGAAGGAGGAGCUUGCUUCUCUGGAUGAGUUGCGAACGGGUGAGUAACGCGUAGGUAACCUGCCUGGUAGCGGGGGAUAACUAUUGGAAACGAUAGCUAAUACCGCAUAAUAGUAGAUGUUGCAUGACAUUUGCUUAAAAGGUGCAAUUGCAUCACUACCAGAUGGACCUGCGUUGUAUUAGCUAGUUGGUGGGGUAACGGCUCACCAAGGCGACGAUACAUAGCCGACCUGAGAGGGUGAUCGGCCACACUGGGACUGCGACACGGCCCAGACUCCUACGGGAGGCAGCAGUAGGGAAUCUUCGGCAAUGGACGGAAGUCUGACCGAGCAACGCCGCGUGAGUGAAGAAGGUUUUCGGAUCGUAAAGCUCUGUUGUAAGAGAAGAACGAGUGUGAGAGUGGAAAGUUCACACUGUGACGGUAUCUUACCAGAAAGGGACGGCUAACUACGUG